UACGGGGGGGGCAAGCGUUGUUCGGAAUUACUGGGCGUAAAGGGCUCGUAGGCGGCCAACUAAGUCAGACGUGAAAUCCCUCGGCUUAACCGGGGAACUGCGUCUGAUACUGGAUGGCUUGAAUCCGGGAGAGGGAUGCGGAAUUCCAGGUGUAGCGGUGAAAUGCGCAGAUAUCAGGAGGAACACCAAUUGCGAAGGCAGCUCGCUGGGACGUUACUGACGCUGAGGAGCGAAAGUGUGGGGAGCGAACAGG
rnacentral:rRNA from 1 species